rnacentral:rRNA from 1 species
AGGCUGGUUUUCCAGGCAAAUCCGGAAAAUCAAGGCUGAGGCGUGAUGACGAGGCACUGCGGUGCUGAAGCAACAAAUGCCCUGCUUCCAGGAAAAGCCUCUAAGCAUCAGGUAACAUCAAAUCGUACCCCAAACCGACACAGGUGGUCAGGUAGAGAAUACCAAGGCGCUUGAGAGAACUCGGGUGAAGGAACUAGGCAAAAUGGUGCCGUAACUUCGGGAGAAGGCACGCUGAUAUGUAGGUGAAGUCCCUCGCGGAUGGAGCUGAAAUCAGUCGAAGAUACCAGCUGGCUGCAACUGUUUAUUAAAAACACAGCACUGUGCAAACACGAAAGUGGACGUAUACGGUGUGACGCCUGCCCGGUGCCGGAAGGUUAAUUGAUGGGGUUAGCGCAAGCGAAGCUCUUGAUCGAAGCCCCGGUAAACGGCGGCCGUAACUAUAACGGUCCUAAGGUAGCGAAAUUCCUUGUCGGGUAAGUUCCGACCUGCACGAAUGGCGUAAUGAUGGCCAGGCUGUCUCCACCCGAGACUCAGUGAAAUUGAACUCGCUGUGAAGAUGCAGUGUACCCGCGGCAAGACGGAAAGACCCCGUGAACCUUUACUAUAGCUUGACACUGAACAUUGAGCCUUGAUGUGUAGGAUAGGUGGGAGGCUUUGAAGUGUGGACGCCAGUCUGCAUGGAGCCGACCUUGAAAUACCACCCUUUAAUGUUUGAUGUUCUAACGUUGACCCGUAAUCCGGGUUGCGGACAGUGUCUGGUGGGUAGUUUGACUGGGGCGGUCUCCUCCUAAAGAGUAACGGAGGAGCACGAAGGUUGGCUAAUCCUGGUCGGACAUCAGGAGGUUAGUGCAAUGGCAUAAGCCAGCUUGACUGCGAGCGUGACGGCGCGAGCAGGUGCGAAAGCAGGUCAUAGUGAUCCGGUGGUUCUGAAUGGAAGGGCCAUCGCUCAACGGAUAAAAGGUACUCCGGGGAUAACAGGCUGAUACCGCCCAAGAGUUCAUAUCGACGGCGGUGUUUGGCACCUCGAUGUCGGCUCAUCACAUCCUGGGGCUGAAGUAGGUCCCAAGGGUAUGGCUGUUCGCCAUUUAAAGUGGUACGCGAGCUGGGUUUAGAACGUCGUGAGACAGUUCGGUCCCUAUCUGCCGUGGGCGCUGGAGAACUGAGGGGGGCUGCUCCUAGUACGAGAGGACCGGAGUGGACGCAUCACUGGUGUUCGGGUUGUCAUGCCAAUGGCACUGCCCGGUAGCUAAAUGCGGAAGAGAUAAGUGCUGAAAGCAUCUAAGCACGAAACUUGCCCCGAGAUGAGUUCUCCCUGACUCCUUGAGAGUCCUGAAGGAACGUUGAAGACGACGACGUUGAUAGGCCGGGUGUGUAAGCGCAGCGAUG